GAGACCGGUGGUGGGGGGAGGCACACGAGUCAGAGUACGGGAAUGACCCCUGAAUGAGAGAGAGCAGCAGCACAGGGUACAGUGUGUCUCAGCACUGCAGUAGCACAGCAGCAAAGCGUGUGACCUUAGAGGGAACAGCCUAGAGCCAGAGGGAAGCCUUGAAAGAAAGUUCCGGAAGCAGCGGUCAUGAUGAAGCAGGAUCUCCCAGGUUACGAAGCUCAAUGCGAGCAUUUGCCCUGCGUGGCUGCAUAUUCCCACUUGCUAUUGAAAAGACCAAGUUUACCUGGGACAUGACUGUUUUUUGAAGAAAGGAAGAUUGGCAUCGGGCUAAAAUACUCAGGGCUACAGCCCCAAGUGAUCGGACCUAGCGACGCCCAUGGCGUGGACAAGUGAAGGGACCCGAGAUUUAACUGCAAUAUGGUCGAAAGAACUAAAGAUCAGGAUAGUGUAAAAAUAAAUAUUUUGCAUAAUACAGUAGGACAGCACGG